UCCAUGGGGGAACCUGCAAGAGCUAACCGCGUGGAGGAUGAAGGUUCCGGAUUGUAAACUCCUGUCAUGAGGGAGUAAGGCAUUACGUUAACUGCGUGGAUGUUUGAUAGUACCUCAAGAGGAAGAGACGGCUAACUCUGUGCCAGCAGCCGCGGUAAUACAGAGGUCUCAAGCGUUGUUCGGAUUCAUUGGGCGUAAAGGGUGCGUAGGCGGUUUGGUAAGUCAGAUGUGAAAUUCCUGGGCUCAACCGAGGAACUGCAUUUGAUACUGCCAGACUAGAGUACUGGAGAGGAGACUGGAAUUCACGGUGUAGCAGUGAAAUGCGUAGAUAUCGUGAGGAAGGCCAGUGGCGAAGGCGAGUCUCUGGACAGUAACUGACGCUGAGGCACGAAGGCCAGUGGAGCAAACGGGAUUAGAUACCCCGGUAGUCCUGGCAGUAAACGGUGUGCGCUUGGUGUGGGAGGAAUCGACCCCUUCCGUGCCGGAGCUAACGCGUUAAGCGCACCGACUGGGGAGUACGGUCGCCAGAUUCAAACUCAAAGAAAUUGACGGGGGGCCGCACAAGCGGUGGAGUAUGUGGCUUAAUUCGAUGCAACGCGAAGAACCUUACCUAGGGUUGACAUGCAUCUCUAAGUCGGUGAAAGCCGGCGAGUGUAGCGAU
rnacentral:rRNA from 1 species